rnacentral:rRNA from 1 species
ACCGAUGAUACGCGAUAUUUUUAACUUAAACCUAAUCUUUAUACCGCCGUCCAAAGGAUAAAAUUAAAUAUUUUAUUCGUACCAUACCACCCAAGUAAAAAUGUCAGGUCAAGGUGAAGUUAAUGUUUGAGUUUCAAUGAGUUAUCAAUAAAAAUAAUUUAUGGACUUUUGUUUAAAAUCAAAAAUCGAAUCAAGAUUUAAAAGUAUUUUCAGUUUAAUACACUAAAAAGAAUAAGCAAAAAAGGUGUACAUAUCGCCCGUCGCCCUCGUCCAAAGAUGAGGUAAGUCGUAACACAGUUAAUAUACUGGAAAGUGUAUUAAGCGUACACAACCCCAAGCUAUCAGUAUUUCACUUACACUGAAAAGAUUCCAUUUACCUCUACGUGAAUCCUUGUUCACAAAAUCUUUGCGCUCUUUUAUUUCUAAUUCGACUCUUCAAAAACUGAAAAGGAAAAUCAAAAUAUAAUCUAAGUAAAAUUAUGUACCUUUUGUAUCAGGGAUUCUCAAAUCUCCACAGUAUAUCCCAGACUCCCGAAACAAAACGAACUUUGUAUUUUAGUACAAGUUGUGGCACAAACAAUAUAAAUUUUUCAAAGUUGAGAUAUUCUUUUCAAGUCUUUCUAUAUCUGGUUCACUCUUCAUCAACUCUUCUCAUAAUUCAAAGAAUAAGCUUUGAGUCAAGCUUACCCCCUUCUCACCUUCUGAACCUAGAUUUAAUAGUAUCCGCACUGUUUUUAAACCCCUUAUCUUAACACACUCAAGCAAUAUUAUCCCCCCGAGUGAAUCACCCCAUUAAUAUCAUAAUGAUAAUAUCAGUAAAAUUUUUUCCUUCUUCAACUCCCCUUUUUAAAAUUAUUCCCCACUUCAAGCUUACAUUGAAUUUAUGAACUAGGCCCACAAUCAAUUGACUGUUUAUCAAAAACAUAGCUAAUAGAUCUCAAUUACUAGUAGUACCUGCUCAAUGAAAAAUAA